GAUGAACGCUAGCGGCGUGCUUAACACAUGCAAGUCGAACGGUGAAGGCGGAGCUUGCUCUGCUGGAUCAGUGGCGAACGGGUGAGUAACACGUGAGCAAUCUGCCCCUGACUCUGGGAUAAGCGCUGGAAACGGCGUCUAAUACUGGAUACGAGCUGCGAAGGCAUCUUCAGCAGCUGGAAAGAACUUCGGUCAGGGAUGAGCUCGCGGCCUAUCAGCUUGUUGGUGAGGUAACGGCUCACCAAGGCGUCGACGGGUAGCCGGCCUGAGAGGGUGACCGGCCACACUGGGACUGAGACACGGCCCAGACUCCUACGGGAGGCAGCAGUGGGGAAUAUUGCACAAUGGGCGAAAGCCUGAUGCAGCAACGCCGCGUGAGGGACGACGGCCUUCGGGUUGUAAACCUCUUUUAGCAGGGAAGAAGCGAAAGUGACGGUACCUGCAGAAAAAGCGCCGGCUAACUACGUG
rnacentral:rRNA from 1 species